rnacentral:rRNA from 1 species
GAUGAACGCUGGCGGCGUGCUUAACACAUGCAAGUCGAACGAUGAAGCCUAGCUUGCUAGGUGGAUUAGUGGCGAACGGGUGAGUAAUACGUGAGUAACCUACCUUUAACUCUGGGAUAAGCCUGGGAAACUGGGUCUAAUACCGGAUACGACCAAUCUCCGCAUGGGGUGUUGGUGGAAAGCGUUAUGUAGUGGUUAUAGAUGGGCUCACGGCCUAUCAGCUUGUUGGUGAGGUAACGGCUCACCAAGGCGACGACGGGUAGCCGGCCUGAGAGGGUGACCGGCCACACUGGGACUGAGACACGGCCCAGACUCCUACGGGAGGCAGCAGUGGGGAAUCUUGCGCAAUGGGCGAAAGCCUGACGCAGCAACGCCGCGUGCGGGAAGAAGGCUCUCGGGUUGUAAACCGCUUUCAGAAGGAACGAAACUGACGGUACUUUCAGAAGAAGGUGCGGCCAACUACGUGC